rnacentral:rRNA from 1 species
CUAGCACAGCCUAGUGGGAGAUACACCUGUACCCAUGCCGAACACAGCAGUUAAGCCCUAGAACGCCUGAAGUAGUUGGGGGUUGCCCCCUGUUAGAUACGGUAGUCGCUUAGC